GACGAACGCUGGCGGCGUGCCUAAUACAUGCAAGUAGAACGCUGAAGAGAGGAGCUUGCUCUUCUUGGAUGAGUUGCGAACGGGUGAGUAACGCGUAGGUAACCUGCCUUGUAGCGGGGGAUAACUAUUGGAAACGAUAGCUAAUACCGCAUAACAAUGGAUGACACAUGUCAUUUAUUUGAAAGGGGCAAUUGCUCCACUACAAGAUGGACCUGCGUUGUAUUAGCUAGUAGGUGAGGUAAUGGCUCACCUAGGCGACGAUACAUAGCCGACCUGAGAGGGUGAUCGGCCACACUGGGACUGAGAAACGGCCCAGACUCCUACGGGAGGCAGCAGUAGGGAAGCUUCGGCAAUGGGGGCAACCCUGACCGAGCAACGCCGCGUGAGUGAAGAAGAUUUUCGGAUCGUAAAGCUCUGUUGUAAGUCAAGAACGGGUGUGAGAGUGGAAAGUUCACACUGUGACGGUAGCUUACCAGAAAGGGACGGCUAACUACGUG
rnacentral:rRNA from 1 species